rnacentral:rRNA from 1 species
AGUAAUGUAUGGGGAUCUGCCCGAUAGAGGGGGAUAACUACUGGAAACGGUGGCUAAUACCGCAUAAUGUCUACGGACCAAAGCAGGGGCUCUUCGGACCUUGCACUAUCGGAUGAACCCAUAUGGGGUUAGCUAGUAGGUGGGGUAAAGGCUCACCUAGGCGACGAUCUCUAGCUGGUCUGAGAGGAUGAUCAGCCACACUGGGACUGAGACACGGCCCAG